rfam:Myotis davidii contig177652, whole genome shotgun sequence.
GGUGAUUCUCAGGUGAUGCACCCCAGAAUCAGGCUCCCUCCUCUCUGGUUCCAGGUGCGUCACCCGAGAACCGCA